AGUCUCUAGGGUGGGCUGCCUGCCCUGGCUGAGCUGGAUUAAAUCGGUGCUCUAGUGGGUGGAGCAGACCCUGGGCUAGCAGGUCUCAGGGAGAACUCCAAUGGCGUCUGUGUCAGCAAGCUCACACCAGGCCACAACAAUGGCCGCCGCCAAUGUCCCAGUCCCUGGAGAGCUCUCACCCCUCACCGAGAUGCACUCAGGGCCUAUUAGGAGACGUACUACCAAGGCUGAGGAAGGAGAUAUUUGAUGGAAUUAACGGCUUGUAGUACCACUCCCAUCUCGUUCCCUCAUAAUAGAGCAGCCCCGUGUGGUGUCUGAGGAGACUCGUCGCUCAAACUGAAUUGUAUAGUGUUUUUCUGAUGUGCAAAAUGUUGACCCGUGGGAAGCCUCUGGACUCAUUUUCAUUAGUGAUCUAAACACAUUUGGAGAUAAGGUAUUGGAUACUAAAGAAAGAAAUGAAGAGGAGGAGAAGGGGAGAAGGGCGAGAAGGAGGAAAAAAAUAGGGAUAAAAAGUUGAAACCGUAGGACCUUGCCCUGCGUUUGCUUUUAGUUUGAGUUUAUACCUGUGCAGUGAGUAAACCAAAGCCAAUAAAUUAAUCUUACAAUUGUUUUUAAGGAAUGAAAUCCCUGGAACCAAGUUGAUACAGGUAAGAAGAUUCUGUGCCGUGAAACUUUCCUAUACCAUGGCAUACAGGACUUUCAAAGAAUAAACAACUAUGCCAAAGAAAGGCGCACAAUCAAAACUGCAAUAUUACCUGAAGAAAUAAAGAAAACUCCGAUAAUGUUGAAUUUCAACUGACUCAUUCCUACAAAAAAGCAAUGGUCAAGGAGUACUUCUGCUUCUUUUGUGUUCUAAGAAAUGGCUAACAGCAAAGGACUGCCCUGCUCUUACAUAUUCGGAGAAGACUUGCCUCUAUUCUUCCUCCUGACACCCAUAAGGACCCCCUUCCUUUUCUUUGAGAAGUUUGUCAUUAGUGAAUAUUCUCUCUAUUGUAAUAGCCUAAAUAAAAAGUAUCUCCUUAAUUGUCUAUUACAUUUUAUCCUUCAUUGAUUUGGUGCCGUGAGUCAUGUAUGCUUGGUCCUUGGCUUCAGAUCCCGAUUUACUCAGCCCAGGUAAUAAGGCAUCUUGGAGGCCCUUUGCUCUGUCCCUGACUGGUGAUCCGGGGACUCAACUGUCAACCCAGGUCUUUAUCCUGUGUUCCUGAGUUUUCUUCAUCUGCUUUAUGAUAAGGAAUUGAUUUUGAUGCCUUUGGUUGCUCACUUGAUUUCUGGUACCAGCAUGUUUUGGCUUCGUUGUCUGAUCAUUUGGCAAUAUCUGUAAAGACAGAUUGAUGGUUUAUAGCGAUCUUAACAUUUGUUGGGAGAAAGACAGAGAAUCUGGUUUGUUAGUGUUUUCUGUUUGUCUAUUUGUUUAUUUUGAGCACAUAUAAAUUAAGAAUUUCAUGUCUACUAGGAAGUAUAUAUCUGAAUGGAUAAAUUGGUAUUUGUGUGUUUAUGUUUGACCCAUGACUAAAUUUUAGAGUUGAAGUUAUAGGCUUUUUCUCUCUGUAUUUCUGUAUGUUUACAUGUGUGUAACUCAGAAAGGCCUUUACCUCUCAUUGUGUGAGUGCAUAAUAUUUUCCUACCUCCCAAAUUCACUUAUACAAUCCUUUAAAGGAGUUCUAUUUUAAUUAGUGUAGAAAUAAACAAGCAUUAAUGUUAAUCAAAUAUUCCUAAACUUUUCACAAUAUGAAGAAAUUAAACCUCUAAUACUUUUAACGUGAAAAAUAAAAGUUAGUUACUAUUAUAACUCAGAAAUGUUCUAAGAGUUCAAGUUCACAUCAUUUAGGUGAAUUUUUGGCAAAUGAGACUAGUUGAAUAUGUUUAGUUCAAUAACAGCAGCUGUAUUUUCUCUGAUUUUUCAGUGUUAAGUACAACAUACAAGAAGAUUUAUUUUUUACU